AUGACCAUCUUCCUCAGACUCCUCUCAAAGUGAGAAGGCAGUUAAACCACCCCAGUGUCUCUACGAUUUAUAGCAGUUUCAAAGGCCGGAAAGUGAAGCCUUCCAACAACUAUACCUUUCUCUAUCACGGCAAACAGAUCCUGAACGACAUGACACCAGGAUCUGAAGAAGCUGAAGGAAAGCAGCACGGUGAAAAACCACCUCUAGAACUAUGAGGACUACUUUUGUUAAAAGAUACAAGGAAGUAAACCGGAAGUAAAUCAUAGUAGCAGCAAGUCUGCCUGAUUAUUCAGUCACAGAAGGGAAAAGGAGUGGAUGGAUCUGGGGUCCUUGGGAAGCAGAGGCGGCCAGAGUCGUGGUGACCGGAGGCCCCGUGUCUGCAUCAGAAGCACCCAACAUGCUUCAGCUCCUUCUUUCCACAACAGUGGUUGGACAUGAAGCAAAAAUGUGGGCAUUGUGAAAACCCCUCAUUGAAAGUCACUUGGAGGAAAAGAAGGACAGGAGAUGGGGUCUCCCUACUGAAGGUUGAAGUGGUGACAUCCACUGCUGACUUCACUAACGGCUGAUAAAGAAUUUAUUUACUGUAACACCUCACAGACACUGUACCACAGCCGCAUACAUCUAGUAGCCUGCCUGUGGCUGCUAAGAUAACGGAAUGAUCCGUCUUGUAUUCCGAGACUGAGUCUGAUCUGUUAACGAAGAGGUGCAGAAAAGUCUUGUGCUGUAUUCCUUGUCUCAGAUUUCCUUUGUAUUUCUUUUUUUAACACUCUAUAUUUCCCUCGUGUUUUUUAACUCAUGGACAUGUGCUCUUUGUACUAUUUUAAAGGUAACAAAAUCCAACAUAUCAAAAAUAUUA